UAGGGAAUCUUCGGCAAUUGGACGAAAGUCUGACCGAGCAACGCCGCGUGAGUGAAGAAGGUUUUCGGAUCGUAAAACUCUGUUGUUAGAGAAGAACAAGGGUGAGAGUAACUGUUCACCCCUUGACGGUAUCUAACCAGAAAGCAACGGCUAACUACGUGCCAGCAGCCGCGGUAAUACGUAGGUGGCAAGCGUUGUCCGGAUUUUUUGGGCGUAAAGCGAGCGCAGGCGGUUUCUUAAGUCUGAUGGGAAAGCCCCCGGCUCAAACGGGGGGGGUCAUUGGAAAAUUGGAGACUUGAGUGGAGAAGAGGAGAGUGGAAUUCCAUGUGUAGCGGUGAAAUGCGUAGAUAUAUGGAGGAACACCAGUGGCGAAGGCGGCUCUCUGGUCUGUCACUGACGCUGAGGCUCGAAAGCGUGGGGAGCAAACAGGAUU
rnacentral:rRNA from 1 species